rnacentral:tRNA from 1 species
GCCUCCGUCGUCUAACGGUCUAGGACGCUGGGCUUUCAAUCCGGAAAUAGGGGUGAACUAGGGUCCUUCGGACCCGUUACGGACCCCGGAAAGCUCCAGCAAGCUGGACCUUUCCGAGAACCGUCGAUUCCCCUCGGAGGCG